CUAAGUGAUUUGCAUAUCUACCUUUAGCUUCUAUUCUCGUAGAGCCCUUCGGUUCCCAAAUCCCUUCAACAUUUAAUAUUAUGGCUCUUAAAAAAGGACGGGUUUUGGUUUUGACAUUGGAAAAUAGUUUGGAUGAAGAAAUUUUGAGAAGUUAGAUACACAUCUCUAGCGUUUUUGUUUCAAGUUGGUUCUAGAAGAUGAAGAUUGAAAGGGUGGCGGUGAAAGCAUAAAUUGGAGAAGGAAGAAGAUGGUGUUUCUGUUUCAAGUUGGUCCUAAAUGAUUAAAUUUAUUAAUUAAUUUCAUUAUAUAAUAAUUAAUAGGCUUAAAUGCAGUUUUAUCCCUCUGUUUUGAUUAAAUCAGAAUUUUACCCCCUGUUUUAAAACGCGGACUUUUACCCUAUGUUUUAGAAUUUUUUGGAUUUUGCCCCUCCUAAAAUUCUGUUUUCGAGUCACAACUUCAAAGUUUCGCACACAACUCAAUUUGGAUCAAUAAUUCACCAAACAGAUAUUGAAAUGACCGUAAUCGAGUUAUCUUUCCACAAAAUCAAACUCCGCUAAAUUUGGAGUUACAAAGAGAGAUUAAUUACCGUUUUAGUGAAGGUAUGUCCCCCAAAAUUCUGCACAAAAUCUGCUUUCGAGUCACUACUUCAAA
rnacentral:lncRNA from 1 species